ACAGAUCUACAUGUAAUUUACCGUGCACUUUAAAAUUUUAGUUUGAACAUAAUGAAUGUGCAUAUUGUGUAAAUGUGUGUCACUUUUUGUUUUUUAUAUUUUGGCUGCUUGAAUUUGGUUUGGAUAUGUCAAUUAUGGAUGAAGUCUUUAGAUUUUGGGCUCGAUUCUUCACAUUUAUUAUGUUUGCUUGAUUUUUUUUCUUUAGUAACUGGGCGGGAGACUUUUUUUCUUUGGUAACUGGGCGGGAGACUCUGUCUCCCGUUUUUAUUCAAAGCAAGAAAAAAAAAUUCUACAAGAAUUCGCUUUGAUCGUACGGACCUGAAAUUAUCCUCCCUCCAUAUUAAAUCUACAAUACUCGGAACAAUAGUAAA
rnacentral:sRNA from 1 species